UACGGAGGGUGCGAGCGUUGUCCGGAAUCACUGGGCGUAAAGGGCGCGUAGGCGGCGCUGGAAGUCAACGGUGAAAGCUCGGGGCUCAACCCUGAAUCGGCCGUCGAUACUCCUGGGCUCGAGCACUGUAGAGGCAGAUGGAAUUCCGGGUGUAGCGGUGGAAUGCGUAGAUAUCGGGAGGAACACCUGUGGCGAAAGCGGCUCACUGGACCACAACUGACGCUGAGGCGCGAAAGCUAGGGGAGCAAACAGG
rnacentral:rRNA from 1 species